rnacentral:miRNA from 1 species
UGGGCUGGCCAAAAAGUUCGUUCGGGAUUUUCUGUAACAUCUUAUGGAAAAACUUGAACGAACAUUUUGGCCAACCCA